rnacentral:rRNA from 1 species
UGGGGAAUAUUGGACAAUGGGCGAAAGCCUGAUCCAGCCAUGCCGCGUGUGUGAAGAAGGUCUUCGGAUUGUAAAGCACUUUAAGUUGGGAGGAAGGGCAGUAAGCGAAUACCUUGCUGUUUUGACGUUACCGACAGAAUAAGCACCGGCUAACUCUGUGCCAGCAGCCGCGGUAAUACAGAGGGUGCAAGCGUUAAUCGGAAUUACUGGGCGUAAAGCGCGCGUAGGUGGUUCGUUAAGUUGAAUGUGAAAGCCCCGGGCUCAACCUGGGAACUGCAUCCAAAACUGGCGGGCUAGAGUAGGGCAGAGGGUGGUGGAAUUUCCUGUGUAGCGAUGAAAUGCGUAGAUAUAGGAAGGAACACCAGUGGCGAAGGCGACCAACUGGGCUCAUACUGACACUGAGGUGCGAAAGCGUGGGGAGCAAACAGG